rnacentral:misc_RNA from 1 species
GAUGAAGAACGUAGCGAAAUGCGAUAACUAAUGUGAAUUGCAGAAUUCAGUGAAUCAUCGAGUCUUUGAACGCACAUUGCGCCCCCUGGUAUUCCGGGGGGCAUGCCUGUCCGAGCGUCAUUGCUGCCCUCAAGCACGGCUUGUGUGUUGGGCUCCGUCCCCCCGGGGACGGGCCCGAAAGGCAGCGGCGGUACCGAGUCCGGUCCUCGAGCGUAUGGGGCUUUGUCACCCGCUCUGUAGGCCCGGCCGGCGCCAGCCGACAACCCAUCAUCCUUUUCAGGUUGACCUCGGAUCAGGUAGGGAUACCCGCUGAACUUAAGCAUAUCAAUAAGCGGAGGA